CCUUAUUCUGUGUGAGCCUAGAGCAACUGCGUGAGAACCUAUUGUCACCAAUACAUUCAUUUUUAGGAUCUAGAGACCAAGGCUGAGAGGUGUGCUCACCUGCCUAUGGUCUCGCGGCCUAUCAGUGCUGGAACCAACUGGGACCCAGCUGCUCCCUCCUUGCCCAGGAUGUUCUCCACUAUUCUGCUUGCUUGCAGGUGCCCAGAAGGAAACACUCUCUUCCCUACUGUCAUCCCCUCCCCUGGCCUUAGCCUUCAUCUUGACUGUGGGCUCAGGAGAGACCCGGCACCAGGACCACCCACCUCAGCAGGUCCCAGAGACCAGAUCCACAGGACCCUUGAGAUGGUAAGUCCUGGUCAUUUUAAACCACUAGGUUGUGGGCUAAUUUAUUCCACAGCGAUAGAUAACAGAUACAUUUC
rnacentral:lncRNA from 1 species